rnacentral:rRNA from 1 species
GAGUUUGAUCCUGGCCAGGAUGAACGCUAGCGGCAGGCCUAAUACAUGCAAGUCGAACGGUAAAUAUUGUAGCAAUACGAUAUGAGAGUGACGUACGGGUGCGUAACACGUAUGCAACCUACCCAUAACUGGAGGAUAGCUCCCCGAAAGGGGAAUUAACCCUCCAUAGUAAGAUUGGAUGGCAUCAUUUGAUCUUUAAAACUCCGGUGGUUAUGGAUGGGCAUGCGUCUGAUUAGCUAGUUGGCGGUGUAACGGACCACCAAGGCGAUGAUCAGUAGGGGAACUGAGAGGUUGAUCCCCCACACUGGCACUGAGAUACGGGCCAGACUCCUACGGGAGGCAGCAGUAGGGAAUAUUGGUCAAUGGAUGCAAGUCUGAACCAGCCAUGCCGCGUGCAGGAAGAAGGCCCUAUGGGUUGUAAACUGCUUUUGCCAGGGGAUAAAACGACCUUGCGAGGUUAAUUGAAGGUACCUGGUGAAUAAGCCACGGCUAACUACGUGCCAGCAGCCGCGGUA